CUUAAAUAUUCGUUAUCUAGUAAUUGAGUAUUUGGAAUCUUAAAGGUUCGAUUUUUUCUGCGCAAUUUAAUGAUAAUUGGAGACAUCUCGUUGAAAUUAAAAUAAGCGUAUAAAUUCCUCCAUUACGAAAUCAUCGAGUCUAACCUCCUGAAUGUAAAACAACUAUUACACCAGAACAAAAUAUGGAUUAAAUCGAUAUAACCAGAAGCUGCCAUGUACAAAUAUUGACAGUCCUAUGAUAAAAAUUGUUACUUGUACAUUUCCAUGACUAACAUCAAUCUGUUUGAAAACCAGCGGAAUAUUUUCAAUCAUGUGCUCAUACUUGGUAUAGGUUAGGAAACAUCUACGCAAUAUGUAAUUUGAAUCUCAUUGGACGAUAGAUCGACUUCGAGAUCGAUGACUAAGUGGGGUACGCGAAAUAAAUAGAUCAAGCUCUUCAAAUAACUUUAAUGCUUUUCGCCAUACUUCGGUAUUCGUGGAACCUAAGUUAAUAUCUAUUAUACCUUACCUUGGCGCCAAUCAUAUUGUUAUACUGUUAUAUCAUUUAGAAUAUUGAUAAACAUAUCGUUUAUUGUUUCUCUUAUUUGGCAUACACGUGCGUAAAGUUAUGUAUAGACACAGUCUUUCCAGAAUCACUCCUUCUAUUAAAUAUGUACAUCUUGGUUACAGUUAGAUUUGUUGGUUCGAUUCAACUACUUGAAAUAAUUUACAUCAACCUGACUCAAAUUAAAUCAACGGAACAUUGAAUCUUCAGAAUUCCAAAGUACCAGACUUUCGUAUUUUCAAAGUUCUGAAUUUUCAGACUUCCAAAUUCGUUUUUAUGCUUUAUCCCAUUGCGUGAUCCUUAAUCGAUUGCCAUUUAAUAAACUUACACAUACUGUGUAAAAUGAUAAUUAUCAUAGCAUCGACGAACAGUAUUGUUACAUAUAGUAUCUCCAUAAUAAAAUUUAUUAGCUUUAUAGCAUCGAAUCACACUCGUAACAUGAAUUAUACAUUAUAUUUCGAUGCAACAGAAGCAGGCUACAUUGUUAUGUAAACGUUAAUUUCAAUUCUUCAUAAGGAUCACUGAAUACAAAUUAUCAAUGUGCCGCAUCUCCGACAAGAAUGUCAAUAAAAUAGUUACAGAAACGAUCAUGAAGCAACGAGUUAGCCGCUUAUCUGGUGUUCAAUUGUCUUACAUAUAUACAAACAUACAGAUACGGCACUAAGGUCGAUUCCCAGAGGAGAGAAACCAUUUUUCCUCGAUUCUCCUGCUAGAAGCUGUCGAAUCGUUUCAAGAAAAACGACACGUCAAGCACAUACGUAUACGAUUUGCUCGCUACGAAUCAGAUAGAGAUUCGCAAACCAAAUAAAUAGAACACAAGAUAUCAGAAGAAGAACAGUGAAAUUGCUAGAUCCGGUUGCCUGGUGAGCUUUAGUUUGACAAAUCAGAUGCCCGAUACCCACGCCACCUACUACUGCUUUAAAAAUAAAUAAAACAGGAUGCUGUCGCUAUACAACACGAAACAAGAGAUUAAUCGCUGAUUUGGCCAAUGAUAAUCUACCAAACAGAAUUAAAAAAGAAUAGAUUUACGACUGUGACCAAUCAUGUCAAUGAAAUAAGGAAAUUAAACGUUAUGCUCUUUAUCUUUCUCCUCUGCGAUGUAUCCUUUAUUAGAAAUGUGAAGAACAACCAAUGUGUUUAUUAAUAAUCUACUGCAAAUAUGCAUGCUUUAUUUUUAACUGUUUCAAGACGUUAGAUACCACGUGGGUUUCAUUCUGCUUCGGCAUCGGCUCUGUUACUUUAGUUUCCGUCUUUCGCUCUCUUUUUCUAUUUUUUAUUCGCCUCUCUAUCUCUAUCCUUCGCGUCUCCAUCCCCACCACAAGUUUCAUCCUCCGCUACUCGGACUUCUACCUCUCACUGAUAAUAAAGGAUGUUUCAAUUGUCUCGGCCGAAGAUUUUCAAGUAAUACAAUUUUGAAAAUUUAGAAUUGUUUCAUAUGCCAGAUUAUAAUUCCAUGAAUGGAAGAGACUAAUUGCAAAUGACAGAAUUGCCAGUGAAAGUUUUCAUCCGGAUGAUUAGCAAUAGAAUCGUAACGGAAUUAUGGAAACUUAUCGAUGUAACGUCACAGGAAUUUUCCGAGUUUUCUGAGCCGCCUGAUAGUGAUAUUCUGUAUUCAGAUGCACAAAGAAUAAUUUGUCACGAGCAUCAUAGUGUUAUUCUACGUCUCUGAUUCGACGAAGAUUUGCAAAAAAAAUAGCCGCAAGAAUGGCCCUCAUCUUAAAAUUCAAGGUCACAAUUUUUCUUAUUGCAUCGUAUUCUUCUCAUGAGGAUAACAAAUUUCAGAAGAACACUCAGGAUCGUAACUCAACUGUCCUGUUGGGAAAAAAAUGUUAAGGUGCCAUUAGCUUUAGAACUUAUUUUACGUGUAAUAAUAAUACUUAUUUUAUUUUGCAAUCAGAUACAAGGGAAAUAGCAUCCAGUGUCGCACGUAAAUGCCCCAAAACCACGAUUAUAAAUCCCAUAUCUUCUAUUCUUCCUUUCUUGCUAUUUAAGCAGCCGGACUCGCAUUUCUAUAUUUGGCCAAGUUUCUGAGCAAGAUUGCGCCUUAAAUUUAGAUGAUGAAAAAAUUGGUAGGUCGGUCGAUGAUAAUUCUCCACCUCACACUAGUCGACUAACCCAUUAAUUUUUGAAUGAAAUGAUUGGAUCGUGGUGAAUAGGAUGUAGACUUGCUUCUCGUCUGUGACUUGCUCGUUCGCCAGUUCUAACACAAAUGGCUUUUGGAAGUCGUGAAAGAUAUCGUUCAUAGUUUGGAUAGAUGAGUUACAUCCGUUAAAUAAUUAAAACAUCGGAUUAAAUAUAGUUUUUAUUGCCUAAAGUCAAU